rnacentral:snoRNA from 1 species
UCCCAAUGAAGAAACAUUCACGUCUUACUUCCUGUCUGGUCCCAGAAUUGGUAAAGGGUGAAUCCACUAGGGCUGGCUGUGAGAGAAGAGCAAAAUUUGUUCCAAAAAGAACUAAGGCAU